rnacentral:rRNA from 1 species
AAUGAACGCUGGCGGCGCGCCUAAUACAUGCAAGUCGAGCGAGAAGACGUAGCAAUACGUUUGUAAAGCGGCGAACGGGUGAGGAAUACAUGGGUAACCUACCCUCGAGUGGGGAAUAACUAGCCGAAAGGUUAGCUAAUACCGCGUACGCUCCUUGGACUUCGGUUCAGGGAGGAAAGCGAUACCGUGGGUAUCGCGCUCUUGGAUGGGCUCAUGUCCUAUCAGCUUGUUGGGAGGUAACGGCUCACCAAGGCUUCGACGGGUAGCUGGUCUGAGAGGACGAUCAGCCACACUGGCACUGCGACACGGGCCAGACUCCUACGGGAGGCAGCAGUAAGGAAUAUUGCGCAAUGGGCGAAAGCCUGACGCAGCGACGCCGCGUGGGGGAUGAAGGUCUUCGGAUUGUAAACCCCUUUCGGGAGGGAAGAUGGAACGAGCUAUCGUUCGGACGGUACCUCCAGAAGCAGCCACGGCUAACUUCGUGCC